rnacentral:rRNA from 1 species
AUGAACGCUGGCGGCGUGCCUAAUACAUGCAAGUCGAGCGAACAGACGAGGAGCUUGCUCCUCUGACGUUAGCGGCGGACGGGUGAGUAACACGUGGAUAACCUACCUAUAAGACUGGGAUAACUUCGGGAAACCGGAGCUAAUACCGGAUAAUAUAUUGAACCGCAUGGUUCAAUAGUGAAAGACGGUUUUGCUGUCACUUAUAGAUGGAUCCGCGCCGCAUUAGCUAGUUGGUAAGGUAACGGCUUACCAAGGCAACGAUGCGUAGCCGACCUGAGAGGGUGAUCGGCCACACUGGAACUGAGACACGGUCCAGACUCCUACGGGAGGCAGCAGUAGGGAAUCUUCCGCAAUGGGCGAAAGCUUGACGGAGCAACGCCGCGUGAGUGAUGAAGGUCUUCGGAUCGUAAAACUCUGUAUUAGGGAAGAACAAAUGUGUAAGUAACUAUGCACGUCUUGACGGUACCUAAUCAGAAAGCCACGGCUAACUACGUG